rnacentral:sRNA from 1 species
UGGUGCAAACAGCCUCUGUUAUAACUACAGAGAACAGAAGGUUGAAGAGAAAGUUCAAUUAAAACCCUGCUUUGUUCAGCCCAAUAAUGGGCUUGACAUUUGCAGACUUCCCCGACAAUACCUGCUAUUGCCAAGCUUACAAAUUGGGAAAGGCUUUUGUGGUAGGCUGAGAAGGCGCUGAACAAAAGGUCUCAAGCAGCAAUGCCUUUUCAUGUUCGAAGGGCCAUGGAGUCAGCCUUGGCUUUAUCACCUCAGCAUCCUCUAAUGGGUGGCACCUCAGACAGUUCCUUCGGAAAAGACUCCAGCUUACAAGUAAUGACCAGUGCCACCGACUUGGUGCAACCUAGAGUCUCCCAGGAUGAGAGUCUUACUCAGAGAUCGUGGAGACCCGCUCGGCUGAGGAUACGUCUGUGGAGAAUUGUCUUCAUUGCCUAAACUGAGGAAGCAGCCAGAAGAGCGCCAGUCGCAGACAGCUGCUCUUACCCCACAAGGCAUAGGACACAACCGCAAUGAGCACCCCCGAGGAAAGGAAGGGCCAUCAUUCUUACGGGAGCACCUCAGCCUGGUCUGCCAAAGCCAUCGACUAGAACUGUGCUUAGACGAGCAGCCACCUCUGAGGUAGACUGAGAAACAGAUGGUGAGAACUUCUGGCCUAACAGAAGCGAGGAGAGAAGGAGGAACUAACACAGGGGUAAGGAAUCUCUGCACAAGCACAGAUGUGGCUAAACUGAGGGUUGGGAGGUUAUCGCUCUGCUGCAUCACCAAACAUGUGCCCUGAUAUUUUACCCCUUUUCACCAUGUUUAAUCAUGUUGAAUCAGAUUUCAUAACGCGUGAUAAGCUUAACAAAGAUUCAUCAAAUGGCUUGACCAAAACCAUAUAGUAUUAGACUCCUCUAAGACAAGACAUUAUAUCCAAAAGUUCAAAUAGCAUCUAUCUGCUUAACCUGCUUCAAGCACUCAUGAGCAAGACUUUGAGCAUUAGGGGUGGGUGGACACUGUACAAAGUCUGAGUGGAAGAAGGAAUGUUCCAGAACAGAAGGGAUGCUCAGCAGAGAGGGUUCAGCACAGUGGGCAGUCAGAAAGGACUAUGAGCCCUGGGUAUCCAGACAAAGGGUGAGAGGAAGCUGACUAGAUUAUCAGCCAACAAAAGGCAAAGUAAUUAAAUACUUCAUGUCUCAUUCUUCUUCGGAGAAGAGUGACCAAAUGCACGAUGGGAAGACACCGUCU